CCACGGGUGGCAGCAGUGGGGAAUUUUGGACAAUGGGCGCAAGCCUGAUCCAGCCAUGCCGCGUGAGUGAAGAAGGCCUUCGGGUUGUAAAGCUCUUUCGGCGGGGAAGAAAUAGCGUGGGUUAAUACCCUGCGUUGAUGACGGUACCCGCAUAAGAAGCACCGGCUAACUACGUGCCAGCAGCCGCGGUAAUACGUAGGGUGCGAGCGUUAAUCGGAAUUACUGGGCGUAAAGCGUGCGCAGGCGGUUAUAUAAGUCAGAUGUGAAAUCCCCGGGCUCAACCUGGGAACUGCAUUUGAGACUGUAUGACUAGAGUUUGGCAGAGGGGGGUGGAAUUCCACGUGUAGCAGUGAAAUGCGUAGAGAUGUGGAGGAACACCGAUGGCGAAGGCAGCCCCCUGGGCCAAUACUGACGCUCAUGCACGAAAGCGUGGGGAGCAAACA
rnacentral:rRNA from 1 species